CGUGGAACGCACGCUGUUAUCUCAUCAACUCAGGUGUCUGACUCCCAUCAUGGACAAACAGCUGCCCUGCAUUCUGCUGAUGACUGGAGGAUAAAUAUGGGAGACGUGCAACAGCAAACUAUCCGAGGAGGAGGAAGAUCAAUGGUCCCAAGAGGACAUGCUCACUCUCAUGGAAACCAUGAAGUCCAUUCUGCCCAGCCAGGACAACUUCAAGUUCAAAACCACAGCGUCUCGCACAGACUGGAACAAGCUGGCCUUCAAGAAAUAUACGGGACCCGUGUGUCGUCAAAAGUGGAUUGAGAUCUCAGCUGAGGGCCGCAGAAUGGACAUGCGGACCAAAACCACGGUUGUGUGCAUGAGGCCUCGUAGUCUACAUAUUUCAGUACUGUGACUGAUGCCUAUUGACAUUCUGCCAAUGAACAUCAUGGAGGCCACCAUCUUCCUGGAUGAUGGUCCCUUUCUCCUUGUAGUCUAAUUUCCAGCAGUUAUGUUAGGUUGGUAGAUGCCACCUAGAGGUUCUGCCAUCAUAGCCUUGGUAAGACUCCAGCAGAAGGCACUGUGCUUCCUGUAGGACUUCCCAGAAUGCCAGCGUUGACUCUAGACUCUGGCGCAAUGUGCCUCAGGCUCGUUGGUGUUCUGUAUAACGAAUAUCUGCAGGCGAUUUACUGACAUUGCUGCUCCCCUGUAUCCCUUUAGGUCAGUAAGUUCCGCACUCUCUCAGAACUAAUUCAAACUGCCGAAGAACAUGUGAAGAACCCAUAUGAAGGAAAGCAGCGCUGUAGGUCAUCAAAUGCUGGUCUGAUGGGGACUUGCUCAAAUUCCAAGUCACGGCCCCAAUGUUUCAAGACAUAUUAACCCCUAAUAUUACUUUUCAGAAACUCCCUGAAUUCCCCAGAAGACCCUCGCACCCGAUUUCCGCUUCUUUUCAACAGAAUUGUCAGAACUUUUGAUAUUAAAGAGUCCAUCAAAUAAGGCCAAACAUGGGUAUCUGAAUAGGAACCUGGAAAAGAGAAGCCAUGUUGGUCUGAAGUGAUAUUUUUCAAGAGGGUAUUUGAAGUUCAAACCCUUUGGACUUAGAAUCAAUAACCAAAGAUUAGAUUUAGGUGAAGGCUUUUGUUUUUGAGACAUGGGAGAGUUUACUUAGUCAUUUUCUUCUUGUAUGAAGAGGUUUAGACAGAUUCAAUAAAGAUAUUGACGUAGAUGAGAUGCCUAGAAAUCUGUGUCAAAUUGGGGGCAGGGAAUAGCAAGAGAUUCAGAUUAUUGGUAACUGACCCAUAUUAAUAAAUUCUGAUUUUCUAUAUUGGUGUUAUAGAUUAUAUAUUGUAUUCAUUUUAAGGUUAGGAAUCGCUACCUCAAUUCUAUGUCCUUUCAGAAUCUCUGAGUAAAGUGUACAUUAACCCCCUUAAUGACCAGGCCACUUUUUACACUUCUGCACGGCACUACUUUCACAGUUUAUCGCUCGGUCAUGCAACUUACCACCCAAAUGAAUUGUAUUUCAUUGCUGCUGACAUUUUUACUCUUUUGUUAUUAAUCCAAAUCUUUGCAAAAUGACAUUUUCACUUUC